rnacentral:lncRNA from 1 species
ACCCAUUGGAAAGACACAAGCUGACUCAAACUAUCCACAAAGGAUACUUCGGAAAAAAUCCGGACUCAGACCAAGGAAAAGAUUCACAAAGAACCUCCCUGCCGGGGAAAAUUGCAUAUAUUGGGGAAACGCCAAUACAGCAAAAGGGUAAAAAUCACAGGAAACUCCACUGGAGAAGGUCUAACAAAAAGACUCUCCUGGAGAAGCAACAAAGAAUGAG